CUUCCUCGUCUUCCAGCAGCUCUUCAGACAGUGACAGUGAGGAUGACAAGAAGAAAAAGAAGAAAAAGAAGAAGAAGAAGAAGAAGGAUGAGGAGAAAGAGUACGUCUGGGACAGUGUUAUCAUAUCUCAUUCUGGUUCCGACAGCCAAAUGGAACAGGGGUCUGGAGAGUGUCUGAAGAAGAGCCAGGAUUUGGGCUCAUCAGAUGAUGAGAUUGACAAGAAGAAAGAGAAAAAGAAGAAGAAGAAGAAGGACAAGAAGAAAAAGAAAAAGAAGGAAUCGUCCUCUUCUUCAUCUGACAGUUCAUCAUCAGAGAGUGAGGAUGAGAAGAAGAAGAAAAAGAAGAAGAAGAAAAAGAAAAAGAAAAAG